rnacentral:rRNA from 1 species
AUGGCCGCCUCUGCUUCCUUCCGCUUCCUCUCCCCUCCAGCACCGAACCCGCAUGAUAGGAUACACCCUUCACUCCUCGCAUGCCCGACGCGCCGGCGCAGGCUCCGGGCCACCCGCUGCUCGUCCACGCCGCAACUGCCGCCAUCGCCGCCGCUCGAGUUCCCCCUCCUCCCAUUCCAGCCCGCGGAGGUGUUGAUUCCAUCUGAAUGCAAGACCCUGCACUUAUAUGAAGCAAGGUAUCUAGCAUUGCUAGAAGAGGCUUUGUAUAAGAGGCAAAAUUCUCUUGUACACUUUGUCCUUGAUCCAGUUUUAUCAAGCUCUUCCAAGGAUUCGUUUGCUGUAAGAUAUGGUUGUUUGGUGCAGAUAGAAAGUGUUCAAAAGCUGGAUUUUGGAGCAUUAGUGUCAAUUAGAGGUGUAUGCCGUGUGAACAUCAAGAACCUUCUUCAGAUGGAGCCCUACUUGCGUGGUGAUGUUUCUCCUAUGAUGGACAAGUCUCGCGAUGGCACCGGAUUGGGCCUGAGAAUUUCCAGACUAAGAGAAUCCAUGUGCAAUUUGCACAGCCUACAAAUGAAGCUGAAGGUGCCUGAGGAUGAACCACUGCAAACAAACAUCAAGAGCUCUCUAAUGUGGUCUGAGAAAGAAACUUUCGAAGGGUACGACGAAGAAUUUAUCCCUGGGCUCGUAGAACGUCUCUCUUUUGCCGCGUACCAAUCAGUUUCAGGUAUGUCAGAUGCAGAACUUCUUACCCUGCAAAAAUACAAGAUAAAGGCAAUGGAUUCAACAGACACUCUGGAAAGAGUAAACAGCGGAAUUGAGUAUGUAGAACAUAAUAUUGGUAUGAUUGCCGCGAGACUGGCAAUUCAGAAUAUAUGA